CACUACUACAAAAAGGGCUAUUCCCAACAGUUUAGAAGAGGGUGAACUAUGGGAACCGUUGGAAAAGGUAAGUGGAGAUUUUUCACAUCGGUUUAGGACCGAAGUAAAAAAACUGUUGGGAUAGCUAAUGCCCACGGUGGAUAACCGUUGGCAAUACUAAAUAUUUUUUUUUUUUUAAAAAAAAAUAGUCAAUCCCAACGGUUUAUAACUGUUGGGAAUACUAAGUAUACCCAACGGUUUAUAACUGUGGAGAAUACUUAGUAUUCCCAACAAUUAUAAACUGUUAGAAAAAGAUGCGUUUAAUAUAGCACUAAUCUUUCUUGGCUCGAAAAUUUGGCUCCAAAAUGAAUUUUAUAUUUUUUUUGAGUGUCUAAUAAACCAGCACAGUAUCAUUUUAAAGUAUUUUUUUUAAACAACAUGUUAAAGUAAUUAAGAGAGUAUAUAUAUGAAUACAUAAAACGUUGUCGUUUACAAUAGAAAAAUAAGAAGCUAUUAAAACAAUAUUAUUCAGACCAUCUACCAUUUUGGCUCGAAAAUUUCAAACCAAUGACCCCAAGGGUCGAAAAUUUCCUGGCGAUCUGAUCGACGGCAGCUCCUUUCUUCUCAACUCUCGAUGAUACUGCCCAACGAUUCCCCAAGUUGAAGCCCAUGACAGCCAAGUCGAAGUUCCUCUCUAACCCUAUGUUUUGUACACAAGCCAAAAAUCAAGAUUAGGAGAAUCACUUUCCCUUUCGAUCUAGAAACUCGAACUCAUUCGCGCUUCAAGACAGAAACUAGAGGUAUACUACAAUUUUGAUUUUGAUUGAUCUUUGGUGUUUGAAGAACGUAAAUCAACUUUAUUUGAUUAGUUAGUGCUCUUGAGAAGAGGUACUACCUUGAGAAAAGAAACCGACAGUCAGUAGCAAUAAGCUUCACUCAUGAGUAUACAUGUCCAGAGCAACCAGAUGGCAUCCAGUGUGGGUUUUAUAGCAUGAGAUUUAUUAAAUCAUUCAUGACUGAAAAUAAUCCUACACGAAAAUUGGAAACAAAGUUUAAAAGGAACAUAUCAUCCUCUUACACUAACAAAGAAAUCAAUGAAAUACGUGACGAAUGGGCAAAGUAUGUCAUGCAGAUGAUAGCAGCAGGCAAAUGACUAAUAACAUAGAGUAUGAUGACCUAUGAUCGCUCAUGGAUGAUCCCAAUGUCAUGAUCUAAGAAAAUGAUUGAUAGGUUUGACAUCAAUCUCGGUUACUAUUGUCUUGCUUUUUUGGUUUUUAGGAAGUGUUGUCCAGCUAUUUGAUCAAAGUCCCAAGUGAUUACCUAGAGACUUAUUUUGUUCUUAGUAUAUUUUUAGAUGUUUAGAAGAUAUUCUACAAAAGAUUGCAAAAUGUAAAAACUUAAUUGGAUUUCUUUCUUUUGUAUUGCAUUACUAAACUUUGAUGACAUAUUAUGGUUUUCAUGAAGCUUUAAUUAUUUUGAAGAGUGAUAAAUGUAUGAUUUUUUUUUUUAAAUAUUAUUAUUGUUAUUAUGUUUUUUCAUCAUUAUGUAUUGGAAAUCUAAAUAAUAAAAAUACAAGAGGAGAAUCGAAUUAAUAUUUCUAUUUUAUAUUUUACUUCAUAUUGUCCGUCGGUUUAUAACUGUCAUUUUAAGUAGUGUAUUUUAUUAGUUAUAGUCUCACUAAAGUCUUUUCCAACAUUUCUUAACUGUCAUUUAAAGUAACUUUUUGCCACAGUUAUAAACCGUCAUUUAAAGAGAUGUUUUCCAUCAGUUUCCACCAGAUGGAAGUCUUUCCCAACGGUUAUAAAUUGUCAUUUAAAGUGACUUUUUCCAACAUUUCUUAACCGUCAUGUAAAGUAACUUUUUGCCACAGUUAUAAACCGUCAUUUAAAGUUCUACAUUUUUAUGACACCCACAUAGCCAACGGUUUUAGGAACCGUUGGGAAAUAAUAUAAAAGACAGUUAUAAACUGUUGGGAAUACCCCUUUUUGUAGUAGUGUGUAUUCUUCACAGGGUUUGUUAAAUUUCGUGGGUGUGUUUUCUUUGUUGUUUUGGGUUAAAAGUUUGUAGAUUUCUGGGUUUGUAGGUGUAUGAUUAAUCUGUAUAUUGAUUCAAAUUAUUAAAAUUUGUAUUUUAGUUUUUUCAUAGCUUAUACCCAUUUUGAUGUACUAUUUUUUUUAGGUACAAUUAAAUAUAAGAAAACAAAUACACAAAAAAUUUGUUCCUACUAUUUAAUUGUUAAUAUACACAUUAUUUUGCUUUGUUGUUUUAAAUUUAAUAUUUUUUAUUAAAAAUGAAAAUAAAAAUAAAAUAAAUUUGAUAUAUUAUGCAAUUUUUUUUUUAAAAAAAAUAUGAUAUAGUGACACUCUGUGGUUUUAUUGGGGAAAUUAAUUUUUUAAAAAAUAAUUAAAAAUAAAUAUAGUGACACAUUGUGAGUGUGGCUGUUGUGUUUAGAGUCUCACAACUUGAGAUUCUAAAAGUCUACAGUGACACGCUUUGAGAGAGUCUGAAAGGUUUAAGUAACGAAGAGUCACUAUAUUUUUCAGGACACCCACAUUAGUGACGUGGAGUGAAGUGUCACUAAAGCAUUUUGGAGUCUCUUAACAAGUGUCAUUGUCGCCCAUUUUUGUAGUAGGGUGCAUAAUAUAUUUUGUGCAUCUUUUUAUUCUAGUUUUUUAUAUAAUAUAUAUAAUCAGUGACAGACCCAAAAAUUUUACUUUGAGAGGGCUUAUUUAUCAUUAAGAAAAUAUUUAUACUUACAUUAUAAUCACUCUUAAUAGAUUUAUUUAAUUUUGUGAGGAUUUUUUUUACUAUUUUAAUCUAUAAUUAUCAAACUAAAAAAAUUACAUUUAAUUUUUUAAAAUAAAAUAUUUUUGUUUGUGUGGAUCCGUCGCUGUAUAUAAUAUAUAUGUACUCUAAUAUUUAUUUAAUCUUUUUAUUAGUUAUUAUAUUAUAUCACAUGCAGAUAGAGUUGUAAUAUAUUAUAAUUUUUUUUGUAUUAUGAUAAAAUCACUAACAGGAAACAUCAAAAUGAAUGAGAGUUGAUGGGUGGGAAACUAAGUUAGAAGA